UUCAAUUACAAGGGAUAUUAAUCAGUCUCCGUGGACUAUACACUGUGCCUAGUUUCAUCCUCAGAGACUGAUGUGUAAGCUUAAAGUAAAGACAUCAAAUCAAAGUAUCAGCCAUCAAGAGGAAAAACAUUCAAAAUCAUAUUGUGAUACACAAGUCAAGCAAGUCUGACCAGCAUUUUGAUACAGGCCAAGAAAAAGCUGGAUACUUGAUUGGAAGGGUCGCACAAAAAACAUGGGUUAUCACUAGGGAAACAAGCUCGCAAUACAGUUCACUGUUAGGACAGCAAGCCAAAUACUUCUAAACUUAUUUGAAUCAUUUAUGCUGUUUAUUAUAAUUCAUCCAAUUGUCUUAUUAAAUAUAUAAAUUUAUAUAUAUACACAAUUCCUAAUAUAGAAUUUCUAAAAAUGUUUUAUUAUAAUAUUUAAAAAUGAAACAAACAUGUUCCCAGAACACAGCCACAUAAUGUCAACAUGUUCCCAGAACACAGCCACAUAAUGUCAACAUGUUCCCAGAACACAGCCACAUAAUGUCAACAUGUUCCCAGAACACAGCCACAUAAUGUCAACAUGUUCCCAGAACACACAAAAUGGCAACAUGUUCCCAGAA